CCUACGGGAGGCUACAGGGGGGAAUAUUGCACAAUGGGGGAAACCCUGAUGCAGCGACGCCGCGUGAGUGAAGAAGUAUUUCGGUAUGUAAAGCUCUAUCAGCAGGGAAGAAGAAAGACGGUACCUGACUAAGAAGCCCCGGCUAACUACGUGCCAGCAGCCGCGGUAAUACGUAGGCGGCAAGCGUUAUCCGGAUUUACUGGGUGUAAAGGGAGCGUAGACGGCUGUGCAAGUCUGAAGUGAAAGCACAGGGCGCAACCCUGGGACUGCUUUGGAAACUGUGGAGCUGGAGUGCUGGAGAGGUAAGUGGAAUUCCUAGUGUAGCGGUGAAAUGCGUAGAUAUUAGGAGGAACACCAGUGGCGAAGGCGGCUUACUGGACAGUAACUGACGUUGAGGCUCGAAAGCGUGGGGAGCAAACAGGAUUAGAUACCCUGGUAGUC
rnacentral:rRNA from 1 species